UAGCGUAUAUUAAAGUUGUUGCGGUUAAAAAGCUCGUAGUUGGAUUUCUGCUGUGGGCAGCCGGUCCACACUAUGUGUGAGUAUCUGGUUCGACCACGGCAUCCUCCCGAGGAACGUCGGCGCGCUUCAUUGCGUGGCGCGGUAUUCGGGACUUUUACUUUGAGGAAAUUAGAGUGUUCACGGCAGGCGUUUGCCUUGAAUAUAUUAGCAUGGAAUAAUGAUAUAGGCAUCUGAGUCUAUUUUGUUGGUUUCUAGGCUCAGUUGAAUGAUUAAUAGGGACAGUUGGGGGCAUUCGUAUUAUGACGUC
rnacentral:rRNA from 1 species